rnacentral:rRNA from 1 species
AACAAACGCUGGCGGCGUGCCUAACACAUGCAAGUCGUACGAGAAAGGGUCCUUCGGGGCCUGAGUAAAGUGGCGCACGGGUGAGUAACGCGUGGAUAAUCUGCCCUUCAGUUGGGAAUAACUCAUCGAAAGGUGGGCUAAUACCGAAUAAUGCUGUGAGACCUCUGUUGAUCAGCCAAAGAGAGCAUCUGCUUGCAAGCCCUCGCUGAAGGAUGAGUCCGCGUACCAUUAGCUAGUUGGUAGGGUAAUGGCCGACCAAGGCGACGAUGGUUAGCUGGUAUGAGAGGAUGAUCAGCCACACUGGAACUGAGACACGGUCCAGACUCCUACGGGAGGCAGCAGUGAGGAAUCUUGCGCAAUGGGGGCAACCCUGACGCAGCAACGCCGCGUGAGUGAGGAAGGUCUUCGGAUCGUAAAGCUCUGUCGGAUGGAAAGAACCGCAUAGGGGUAAACAGCCCCUGUGUCUGACGGUACCAUCAAAGGAAGCACCGGCUAACUCCGUGCCAGCCGCCGCCGUAAAAC